rnacentral:rRNA from 1 species
GGGGGGGCAAGCGUUUGUUCGGAAUUACUGGGCGUAAAGAGCUCGUAGGCGGCCAGCUCAGUCGGACGUGAAAUCCCUCGGCUCAACCGGGGAACUGCGUCCGAUACUGGUUGGCUUGAAGCCGGGAGAGGGAUGCGGAAUUCCAGGUGUAGCGGUGAAAUGCGUAGAUAUCUGGAGGAACACCGGUGGCGAAGGCGGCAUCCUGGAUCGGCCUUGACGCUGAGGAGCGAAAGCCAGGGGAGCAAACGGGAUUAGAUACCCCGGUAGUCCUGGCCCCAAACGAUGAAUGCUUGGUGUGGUGGGUAUCGAUCCCCGUGCCGUGCCCGAAGCUAACGCAUUAAGCAUUCCGCCUGGGGAGUACGGUCGCAAGGCUG